rnacentral:rRNA from 1 species
AGAGUUUGAUCAUGGCUCAGAUUGAACGCUGGCGGCAGGCCUAACACAUGCAAGUCGAACGGUAACAUUUCUAGCUUGCUAGAAGAUGACGAGUGGCGGACGGGUGAGUAAUGCUUGGGAACUUGCCUUUGUGAGGGGGAUAACAGUUGGAAACGACUGCUAAUACCGCAUAAUGUCUACGGACCAAACGGGGCUUCGGCUCCGGCGCAAAGAGAGGCCCAAGUGAGAUUAGCUAGUUGGUAAGGUAACGGCUUACCAAGGCGACGAUCUCUAGCUGUUCUGAGAGGAAGAUCAGCCACACUGGGACUGAGACACGGCCCAGACUCCUACGGGAGGCAGCAGUGGGGAAUAUUGCACAAUGGGGGAAACCCUGAUGCAGCCAUGCCGCGUGUGUGAAGAAGGCCUUCGGGUUGUAAAGCACUUUCAGUUGUGAGGAAAAGUUAGUAGUUAAUACCUGCUAGCCGUGACGUUAACAAGUGCGUAGAAGAAGCUAACGCGCUAACUCCGUGCCAGACAGCCUGCGGUAAUACGGAGGGCGCAAGCGUUAAAACUCAAAUGAAUUGACGGGGGCCCGCACAAGCGCUGGACGCAGGCGGUUUAAUUAGAUGCUAGACGCGAAGAACCCUACGGGCUACAACCUGACAUGGUCAUUGAGAACUGGCUAGACAUAGAUUGGUGCCUUCGGAGAGGGGACUCUGAAUUCACAGGUGCUAGCAUGGCUGAAAUGCGUCAGAUAGUGUCGUGAGAUGUUGAACAUAAGUCCCGCAACGAGCGCAAUCCCUGGUCCAAAGACUGACAGCCUCAAGUUGCGCACUCUAAGGAGACUGCCGGUAGACAAACCGGAGGAUUAGAUGGGGACGACUGGUCAAGUCCAUCAUGGCCCUAAACGCUGUAGGGCUACUAGCACGUGCUACAAUGGCAUUUACAGAGGGAAGCGAGACAGUGAUGUGGAGCGGACCCCUUAAAGAAUGUCGUAGUCCGGAUUGGAGUCUGCAACUCGACUCCAUGAAGUCGGAAUCGCUAGUAAUCGCAGGUCAGAAUACUGCGGUGAAUACGUUCCCGGGCCUUGUACACACCGCCCGUCACACCAUGGGAGUGGGAUGCAAAAGAAGUAGUUAGUCUAACCUUCGGGAGGACGAUUACCACUUUGUGUUUCAUGACUGGGGUGAAGUCGUAACAAGGUAGCCGUA